GCCGACGUAGCUCAACGGAUGAGCUUCCGCCUUGUAAGCGGAGGGGUGUGGGUUCGAUUCCCACCGUCGGCU
rnacentral:tRNA from 1 species